GUGAGGAAUUUUCCGCAAUGGGCGAAAGCCUGACGGAGCAAUGCCGCGUGAAGGAUGAAGGCCUAUGGGUUGUAAACUUCUUUUCUCAGAAAAGAAUUAUGACGGUAUCUGAGGAAUAAGCAUCGGCUAACUAUGUGCCAGCAGCCGCGGUAAGACAGAGGAUGCAAGCGUUAUCCGGAAUGAUUGGGCGUAAAGCGUCUGUAGGUUGUUUAAAAAGUAUUCUGUCAAAGAUUAGGGCUUAACCCUAGAUAGGCAGAAUAAACUUUUAAGCUAGAGUUUGGUAGAGGCAGGGGGAAUUCCCGGGGGAGCGGUGAAAUGCGUAGAUAUCGGGAGGAACACCAAAGGCGAAGGCACUCUGCUGGGCCAAUACUAACACUGAGAGACGAAAGCGAGGGGAGCAAAUGGGAUUAGAUACCCGAGUAGUCC
rnacentral:rRNA from 1 species